AUUGAACGCUGGCGGCAGGCCUAACACAUGCAAGUCGAACGGUAACAGGAAGAAGCUUGCUUCUUUGCUGACGAGUGGCGGACGGGUGAGUAAUGUCUGGGAAACUGCCUGAUGGAGGGGGAUAACUACUGGAAACGGUAGCUAAUACCGCAUAACGUCGCAAGACCAAAGAGGGGGACCUUCGGGCCUCUUGCCAUCGGAUGUGCCCAGAUGGGAUUAGCUAGUAGGUGGGGUAACGGCUCACCUAGGCGACGAUCCCUAGCUGGUCUGAGAGGAUGACCAGCCACACUGGAACUGAGACACGGUCCAGACUCCUACGGGAGGCAGCAGUGGGGAAUAUUGCACAAUGGGCGCAAGCCUGAUGCAGCCAUGCCGCGUGUAUGAAGAAGGCCUUCGGGUAGUAAAGUACUUUCAGCGGGGAGGAAGGGAGUAAAGUUAAUACCUUUGCUCAUUGACGUUACCCGCAGAAGAAGCACCGGCUAACUCCGUG
rnacentral:rRNA from 1 species